ensembl:lncRNA
UUCCUCAAACAUGGAUCUACUAGUCUUGCCUAUUGCCAUUCCAUUUCAAUCAGAGCCCUCCUGGCUCACCUAUUGUCCCGCCGCCUUCGAUCCAGUUUGAUAAUGUUCUGAUUGCGGAGGACCUGAGGGUGGGGGGCUCCUUCAACAUCCAAACUGCGCAGUCGGUGUUCCCCCACCCCCCACCCGCCCCGCAACUUUGAGCGGACUCCUGUCCUGCCAUCCCGAUUCCUAAACAGCCCGUGAGGUCAGAGGCAACACCUCCAUUGUAACGCGUCCGGGGAGCCAGCGUCAACACUCUUGCCCCCGCCCUGCCUCGGGUCCUGCUAGCACCUCCCACCUCUUACCGCCGACUCCCUCCCCUUACCCGCCCCGCCCCCGGAGUUAUGCUGCCCAGCAAGGCCCAGAAGAGUCUGGAGAGUUCUGGGAGGGGCGGCACCCAGGGCGCUGAUUGGUCGCAGCAAGCCUGGAGGCAGGACACGAAGCGAAACCGCUGGAAUAUUCCGGGCUUGGCAGCCCUGCAAGCUCUGUGAUUGGCUGAGGACUGAAAAGGUGGGGCUCCAUGAGGCAUUAUAAACACAGCUUUCCCCGGGGUCUGAAAACCNNNNNNNNNNNNNNNNNNNNNNNNNNNNNNNNNNNNNNNNNNNNNNNNNNNNNNNNNNNNNNNNNNNNNNNNNNNNNNNNNNNNNNNNNNNNNNNNNNNNAGGCCGACAAGAAGAAGGUGCUGGACAAGUGCCAGGAGGUCAUUUCCUGGCUGGAUGCCAACACCUUGGCGGAGAAGGACGAGUUUGAGCACAAGAGGAAGGAGCUGGAGCAGGUGGAUUAGGGUCCUUACCUUCCUAACUCUGUAUUUCUUUCAAGUCAGAGGUGAUCUGAGGACCUUGCUAUUGCACUGUAUUUUUUUUGAGGGGACAGUUGGGAUCAUGCCUUUUGCAUUGCCUUGUAUAUCUGCAUUUCAUCACCUCUCAACUUUGCAAAUUGUCUGCAAAGUUUCAACUGUCUCUUUUGGUGAAAUGAUGAAGUUCCUUUUUUUGUAGAGUCUAAACCCAGCAAGAAUUUAUACUGCCAUAUUUUGUGCAUUUUCUUUUUGUAAUAUUCAUCCCAAACUGACGCCUUUUUUGUUUUGUUGUUUUAACUGUUUUCAGUAGAGUAAAUAAACUCCAUAAUUGGAUUGUCUUGACUGUUUCUGUGUUUUAUUUUGAGGGUAGAAGAGUUUGCAUAGGUUGUCUUUUUGGUCUAAAGUUGAAUGGUAGUUUGUAUCUUAAAGAGCAGGGAUCUGGAGAAGUCUGUAUAUUACAUUGUGAUCUAAAAAUGCUUAGUAUGAGUGGGUUGGGUCACCUCAAAAGAGAGGAAUGGGGAUGCUUGUCGAGACGCUGACAAAAAGGAGAGGCACUUACGGGGUAAGGCCAUGACUGCCUUUCCUGUAAGUACACCUGAUAGGUCAGAGCAAUGAUAUGUAAUCUGCUUUCAGCAUGAAAGAACAGGUGAGUCCUAAAUUGGUAGUGAGAAAAUGUGAGUUCAAGCACUGGCUUGCUCAGUUAUGCAUAUGCCACUCUGAUCUCUAGUUCUCAUGUGUUAAAAUGAAAGGGUUUUAGCUGAUACCUCAGCCUUUCUAAUUUCUGAGAGGUUACUUAGAAAUGUUAACAUUUCUGGCUUUGGUUAUUUACAUUUUAAGUACCAGUAUCUUCAAGGAGGUGUCCUUGAGUUUUGGUGACCUAAAAGAAGGAUCUAAUAGUUCAGUGCCCUUAUGUACAAGGCACUAUUUGGGAGCUUUUUAUGUGUUUAGUAAUCUUCAUUCCACCACACCAUGUUUAGGUAGUGUUUGACUUGCAUAGGUGAACCUACAGGGAGAUUUAAAAGUUACAGACUUAACUGAAAUUACUUCACUGGUUAAAAAAAUUUCUGUUUCGGCAAAGGUGUUAAACCUGGAUUCCAGCCUUGGUUUCAUCAGUUGUUGCCAGGCUGUCCCAAGUCUACAGGGCUUUUGUUUUUUUAUAUGCCUGGUUCUGAGUUCUUUCUAACCUAGGUUUCACAACCAGUACCCAUUUGCUUUUAUUUCGUGCAAUUCUAAACAAUUCUGUCAGGUAAAGCCUCCUUCCCACACACUACCUUCCCUUUGAGAUGCUUCACAUCUGAACUGGUAGCAUUCUAGAAAUUUCCUCCACAAUCUCCUUGUUAGAAAAGGCCUGCCCAUAAUCCUCCAGGUUAAAAAUCAGUUGCUGGGUGCCUGGGUGGCUCAGUCGGUUGAACUUCUGGCUUCGGCUCAGGUCAUGAUCUCACGGUUUGUGGGUUUGAGCCCUGCGUCUGGCUUUGUGCUGACAGCUAGCUCAGAGCCUGGAGCCUGCUUCAGAUUGUGUCUCCCUCUCUCUCUGACCCUCCCCUGCUCACACUGUUUCUGUCUCUCAAAAAUAAAUCAAUAAGUAACAUUUAAAAAAAAUUUUUUAAUCAGUUGCACCUGGGGGUUACAAAGUUGUUUAAGAACAAGAUAGAGGGGGUGGCUGGAGGUGAUUGCAGGCGCCCCUGAAUUGUGCACCUUUUUUUUUAUGUUUUUGAGAGAGUGUGUGACCAAGGGAGGGGCAGCAAAAGAUAGAGGCAAUACUCAGAACGAAGGUUCUGAGCUGUCAGCAGAAAGCCUGACACAGGGCUUGAACUCACAAACAGUGAGAUCAUGACCUAAGCUGAAGUUGGACACUCUACCAAUUGAACCACCCAGGUGCCCCUGAAUUGUGCACUUUAAAAUGGUUUUUAUGUUUUGUGAAUUUCUCUUCAACAAAAACAAAGAAAUGGUGUCACUCAACAUUUUAUAAAAGCAUUUUGUUUUUUAAAGUUUUAAUUUAUUUUGAGAGAGAAAGCACAUGAGCAAGAGACAGGGAAAGAAUCCCAAGCAGGCUCUGUGCUAUUAGCUUGAAGCCCGAUGUGGGGCUCAAACUCAUGAACCUUGAGUUCAUGACCUGAGCUGAAGUCCAGUCAGAUGCUAAACAGACUGAGCCACCCAGCUGUCCCCAUUAAAGCAUUUUCUGAGUUUCAUGGGUUCUUCAAAGCCCACCAAACCUUUUAAUAAACAGCAGCCUUUGAAUAAAAUCAGUGUUAUGGGAAUGGCCCUUACAUGAAUACUUGUCCUGGAAGUAUAGAAAUGGAAAUCUACAAGAU